GGGUUAGUAGGUUGGUCGUGCCACUGGUACGUACUGGUCUCACUGAUUCCUCCUUCCUGAUGAACUGUAAUGCCAUUAAUUUGGUGUUGCAGGGAAACUGGACUGUUACUUUGAAAAAAUUAGAGUGUUUAAAGCAGGCAUUUUUGCUUGAAUACAUUAGCAUGGAAUAAUGAAAUAGGACGUUCGAUCCUAUUUUGUUGGUUUCUAGGAUUGACGUA
rnacentral:rRNA from 1 species